rnacentral:lncRNA from 1 species
AUGCCAACAUGACAUGAGAGGCAGGCUUCUCGGUGGACGACCUGCCUGGUUACAUGCCAGCAUGACAUGAGACGCAGGCUUCUCGGUGGACGAUCCUUGUGGUUACAUGCCAACAUGACAUGAGAGGCAGGCUUCUCGGUGGACGACCCGCCUGGUUACAUGCCAGCAUGACAUGAGACGCAGGCUUCUCAGUGGACGACCUUUCUGGUUACAUGCCAACAUGACAUGAGAGGCAGGCUUCUAAGUGGACGAUCCUUGUGGUUACAUGCCAACAUGACAUGAGAGGCAGGCUUCUCGGUGGACGACCCGCCUGGUUACAUGCCAACAUGACAUGAGAGGCAGGCUUCUAAGUGGACGAUCCUUGUGGUUAUAUGCCAACAUGACAUGAGAGGCAGGCUUCUCGGUGGACAACCCGCCUGGUUACAUGCCAACACGACGUGAGAGGCAGGCUUCUCGGUGGACGAUCCUUGUGGUUACAUGCCAACACGACGUGAGAGGCAGGCUUCUCGGUGGACGACCCGCCUGGUUACAUGCCAGCAUGACAUGAGAGGCAGGCUUCUCGGUGGAUCACCCGCCUGGUUACAUGCCAACAUGUCUUGACUGUCAUAUUGAUAUGAUGAUGUCUUCAGAAGUGAACCUUCUAUUGUCGCCAUGUUUCCAUGAUCAUUAUUCUAAUGUCUGUCUGCCAACAGGUCACUUCACAAGGACAGCAUGGAUGUUACUGCUGUGUACGAAGUCAUCUAGAUUAUCACUUCGUCAAUAUGAUUGCAAUAGUAUUUCAUUUUAUGUUGUUAGACUGGUAUUUUUACUCCUUGUCCUAGUAUAUACUCACAGGUAGAUUUGUUUCAUGUUUAUUUGCAUGUAGAAUACUAGUGACUGGUCAUGUGAGCAUGUAGAAGUGACUGCAGUAGUUGAACGACGUCCAUGUCCCAGUCUGGGACUCGGCAUGUUCUUAAUGUACAUAUGGCACAGAUCAACAACAGUUUUGUACAUAUGUCUGUCUGUGUUUUUUAUACAUAAUACAUAUUUUGUAUAGCACAUUUUACAUGUAACCUCGUCUCAUGUUUACGGACUCUCGGUGUAUUGGCCUCGUCUGUACAAAUGUGUAUUGUCUGUUGGGGCUUCGUGGCUGCUGCAUCACUCUCCACGCAGUCUGCAGCCAGGAACUGUUUUAUCAAUUAUACGCCUGGACAAAACACUACUUACAACAUAAUUCCAUUUGUAACAAAGGUUUUUGUAACUUGCAAUCUGUGUUUAUAAAACUAUAUUACCUGAUUGUCAGCUCCCUGAUUAUAUAUUUACCUGUGUGUCUGACUGUGAUCAGAUUUCCCCUUAUACCUGUUUAUUCAAUCACCUGAGUACCUCUUGAGCCACUGUUCUGUAACUAUACUCCCCAUCAAAAGUUUAGACUCACUAGUGUAAAUGUAGCCACUUACUUCAGUCAACUGUUCUAAACGAGAUUUUGCAAAAUAUUCCACUGUUUAAAGGUACUGUUUACACAUGAACUGAUGUAUUGUAAAACAAAUUCGUAACGUUGAAAAGAUUAUUGUCAUGAGUUCAAAAAUGAUGAAACUCCGUGAAAAUUAGCGAAAUGUUUAAUUCUUAACAAUACUUGGUAACAAUACAGCUGUUCACUGCACUUUUCAGCAAUUUGAUGCAUGAUCCUCUGCAUAAAGUUUGAAGUUGGUUCCCCCAAGUUAGUGAAGAAAUUAAUCUUCACUGUAACCAUAUAUAUACUCCUGGAAACGAAUAAUUGUGUUUAUUGCAGUCCGCGUUGGUUUGAUUCUUUUAUGUCUAUAUUGUUUUUGAGGCAGGAGGGGUAGCCUAGUGGUUAAAGCAUU